AAUGUCUGGGAAACUGCCUGAUGGAGGGGGAUAACUACUGGAAACGGUAGCUAAUACCGCAUAACGUCGCAAGACCAAAGAGGGGGACCUUCGGGCCUCUUGCCAUCAGAUGUGCCCAGAUGGGAUUAGCUAGUAGGUGGGGUAACGGCUCACCUAGGCGACGAUCCCUAGCUGGUCUGAGAGGAUGACCAGCCACACUGGAACUGAGACACGGUCCAGACUCCUACGGGAGGCAGCAGUGGGGAAUAUUGCACAAUGGGCGCAAGCCUGAUGCAGCCAUGCCGCGUGUAUGAAGAAGGCCUUCGGGUUGUAAAGUACUUUCAGCGGGGAGGAAGGUGUUGUGGUUAAUAACCGCAGCAAUUGACGUUACCCGCAGAAGAAGCACCGGCUAACUCCGUGCCAGCAGCCGCGGUAAUACGGAGGGUGCAAGCGUUAAUCG
rnacentral:rRNA from 1 species